UACGUAGGGGGCUAGCGUUGUCCGGAAUCACUGGGCGUAAAGAGCGUGUAGGCGGUCCGGUAAGUCCGCUGUGAAAGUCGGGGGCUCAACCCUCGAAUGCCGGUGGAUACUGUCGGGCUAGAGUGCGGAAGAGGCGAGUGGAAUUCCUGGUGUAGCGGUGAAAUGCGCAGAUAUCAGGAGGAACACCUAUUGCGAAGGCAGCUCGCUGGGACGUAACUGACGCUGAGACGCGAAAGCGUGGGGAGCAAACAGG
rnacentral:rRNA from 1 species